CCUACGGGCGGCAGCAGUGAGGAAUAUUGGUCAAUGGACGAGAGUCUGAACCAGUCAAGUAGCGUGAAGGAUGACUGCCCUAUGGGUUGUAAACUUCUUUUAUAUGGGAAUAAAAUGUUCCACGUGUGGGAUUUUGUAUGUACCAUAUGAAUAAGGAUCGGCUAACUCCGUGCCAGCAGCCGCGGUAAUACGGAGGAUCCGAGCGUUAUCCGGAUUUAUUGGGUUUAAGGGGAGCGUAGGUGGAUUGUUAAGUCAGUUGUGAAAGUUUGCGGCUCAACCGUAAAAUUGCAGUUGAAACUGGCAGUCUUGAGUACAGUAGAGGUGGGCGGAAUUCGUGGUGUAGCGGUGAAAUGCUUAGAUAUCACGAAGAACUCCGAUUGCGAAGGCAGUUCACUGGACUGCAACUGACACUGAGGCUCGAAAGUGUGGGUAUCAAACAGGAUUAGAUACCCUUGUAGUC
rnacentral:rRNA from 1 species